rnacentral:rRNA from 1 species
UACGUAGGUGGCGAGCGUUGUCCGGAAUGACUGGGCGUAAAGGGAGCGUAGGUUGCAAUUUAAGUUAGGUGUGAAAGCCCAUGGCUCAACCAUGGAAGUGCACUUAAAACUGGAUAGCUAGAGUACAGGAGGGGUAAGCGGAAUUCCUAGUGUAGCGGUGAAAUGCGUAGAUAUUAGGAAGAACACCGGAGGCGAAGGCGGCUUACUGGACUGCAACUGACACUGAGGCUCGAAAGCGUGGGGAGCAAACA